CUCCUGGUAGCUCAGUUGGAAGAACAAGAAACUCUGAAUCUUGGGGUCCUGGGUUCAAGUCCUGCUUUGGAAA